GAUAGGCUAAUUAAGGGCGCAUGGGGAAUGCCUAGGCUCUCAGAGGCGAAGAAGGACGUGAUAAGCUGCGAAAAGCUACGGGUAUUGGCACACACGAUAUGAUCCGUAGAUAUCCGAAUGGGGCAACCCACUAUGUUGAA
rnacentral:rRNA from 1 species